rnacentral:tRNA from 1 species
AGGAGUGUAGCUCAACUGGUAGAGCGAUGGUCUCCAAAACCAUAUGUUGAAGGUUCAAGUCCUUUCGCUCCUGCCA